GAUGAACGCUGGCGGCGUGCCUAAUACAUGCAAGUCGAGCGAACUGAUUAGAAGCUUUCUUCUAUGACGUUAGCGGCGGACGGGUGAGUAACACGCAGGCAACCUGCCUGUAAGACUGGGAUGACUUCGGGGAACCGAAGCUAAUACCGGAUAGGAUCUUCUCCUUCAUGGGAGAUGAUUGAAAGAUGGUUUUGGCUAUCGCUUAGCGAUGGGCCCGCGGGGCAUUAGCUAGUUGGGGAGGUAACGGCUCACCAAGGCAACGAUGCAUAGCCGACCUGGGAGGGUGAUCGGCCACACUGGGACUGAGACACGGCCCAGACUCCUACGGGAGGCAGCAGUAGGGAAUCUUCGGCAAUGGACGAAAGUCUGACGGAGCAACGCCGCGUGAGUGAUGAAGGCUUUCGGGUCGUAAAACUCUGUUGUUAGGGAAGAACAAGUACGAGAGUAACUGCUCGUACCUUGACGGUACCUAACCAGAAAGCCACGGCUAACUACGUGCCAGCCGCCGCGGUAA
rnacentral:rRNA from 1 species